GGUUGUGGCUCGGUGGUAGAGCACUUGCCUAGCAUGUGUGAGGCACUGGGUUUGAAUCUCAGCACCA
rnacentral:tRNA from 1 species